rnacentral:tRNA from 1 species
GGGCGACUAGUUCAGCGGUAGAACGCUUCUCUGAUAAAGAAGAGGUGGAAGGUCCGACUCCUUCGUCGCCCACAA